AGUGAACGCUGGCGGUAGGCCUAACAUAUGCAAGUCGAACGGCAGCACAGUAAGAGCUUGCUCUUACGGGUGGCGAGUGGCGGACGGGUGACGAAUACAUCGGAAUCUACUUUUUCGUGGGGGAUAACGUAGGGAAACUUACGCUAAUACCUCAUACUACCUACGGGUGAAUGCAGGGGAUCUUCGGACCUUGCGCGAUUGAAUUAGCCGAUGUCGGAUUAGCUAGUUGGCGGGGUAAAGGCCCACCAAGGCGACGAUCCGUAGCUGGUCUGAGAGGAUGAUCAGCCACACUGGAACUGAGACACGGUCCAGACUCCUACGGGAGGCAGCAGUGGGGAAUAUUGGACAAUGGGCGCAAGCCUGAUCCAGCCAUACCGCGUGGGUGAAGAAGGCCUUCGGGUUGUAAAGCCCUUUUGUUGGGAAAGAAAAGCAGCAGGUUAAUACCCCGCUGUUCUGACGGUACCCAAAGAAUAAGCACCGGCUAACUUCGUG
rnacentral:rRNA from 1 species